rnacentral:hammerhead_ribozyme from 1 species
AUCCGAUUGAAGAGUCACAAAUAGGACGAAACGCGCAUCCUAGAU